GGAGGAAUGGCAUGAGAGAGAGAAUUUCACCUGCGUCUUUCCUCCUGUACUCUCCUGUAUGGCUGUCCUAGAAAGUGCUGUGCUUGCGGCGAAUGAGCGGAAAGAUGCUCCAAACAUGUUGCUCACUCCAAAGGCAAUGAGCUCCUGUAACAUACAGAACAAUGAUUCUCCUAACUCAAACUCGAGUUCCCUGCAUUACAAGUACAACACUGUUCAAACCAAGCAUUCUACAGACUGACCACACUCCAUAUGGAGAUGAACAGUUCUAUGGAUCUUGACUUGCAUCUUAUGGAUCGCCAUGGGCCAUGGUUUGAGCUAUAAAUCUUCUUUAAUGUUGAACUGGAGAAAAAAGUCAUCUACAUAUGGGCUGAAGGUAUGUAAACACCUUGAAAAAAUAUUCAUUUUUGGGUUUUGUGUCUUUUUAAAAUUGCAUUAU